UACAGAGGGUGCGAACGUUGCUCGGAAUUACUGGGCGUAAAGCGCGUGUAGGCGGGACUGCAAGUCAGAUGUGAAAUCCCCGGGCUCAACCCGGGAACUGCAUCUGAAACUGCAGACCUUGAGUAUUGGAGAGGGCGGCGGAAUUCCUGGUGUAGAGGUGAAAUUCGUAGAUAUCAGGAGGAACACCGGUGGCGAAGGCGGCCGCCUGGACAAUUACUGACGCUGAGACGCGAAAGCGUGGGGAGCAAACAGG
rnacentral:rRNA from 1 species